CGCCGUCAGGCGGCGACGUACUCUGAACAGCUGCUUGAAUGAAUGGAAAAGGAGGAGGCAAAUAAGAAAAAUACUACGCGUGGUUGAAGAAGAAGCACCCAAACAAAAAAAUUAUCAAUGGAGACAACGAGGUUCUGGUGGCCAAUAAAGGAGAGUUUAAACAAGGGGUCAUGUUGGCUGCAUUGGGCCUAAAAAAAACUUGAUGGAAAAAUGUGGAAAUUAUUUUAAUUUUAUAUAAAAAUUUCUAAUAAUUUCGUUUUAAAUUUACAGGUUUUGUUCCCGAUGGACCGGUGGACUAAGGAUUAAGGUGGUUCCGGAAAUUUAAGCUAAUAAAAUUCAAUUGGACCUGGGAUUUGGCCUUGGUUUACUGCUUCCGUUCAGAAAAGGUUAUAAAUUCAGAUGGAACCUGGACCGGAAGACUACCGAUGAAAUUAUUUGGAUCAAAUUAUAUUUCAAAAAGGUUUUAAGUUCCUGAAGAAAAUCAACAGCAUUAACUGUAAGAUAGAGAGAAAAAUAUCUCCAAUCAAUGAAAUUUUAAUCGGUUCAUAAUUUCGCUUUGGCAAAUGCUUUUCUGCGGCAACUAGCUGGUUUACAUAAGGCAAUUAUAGAGCGGGAAGAGGCGGAUGAGGCUUUCCUGUCCGUAUUAGUGUCCGUUCGGGUAAAUCGGGGAAACUACCUUUAUAAUAUUACAGGAAACCUAGGACUCAAACACCUUAAACUACUAUAAUUCUAGGCCAGAGCUC